rnacentral:rRNA from 1 species
CCUACGGGAGGCAGCAGUAGGGAAUUUUCCACAAUGGACGAAAGUCUGAUGGAGCAACGCCGCGUGCAGGAUGAAGGCCUUAGGGUCGUAAACUGCUUUUAUAUGUGACGCGGUAGCAUAUGAAUAAGGAUCGGCUAACUCCGUGCCAGCAGCCGCGGUCAUACGGAGGAUCCAAGCGUUAUCCGGAAUUACUGGGCGUAAAGAGUGCGUAGGCGGCAUUGUAAGUUGGUAGUGAAAUUGUGUGGCUCAACCAUACACCCAUUACCAAAACUGCAAAGCUAGAGGACAAGAGAGGUCACUGGAAUUCCUUGUGUAGGAGUGAAAUCCGUAGAUAUAAGGAGGAACACCGAUGGCGUAGGCAGGUGACUGGUUUUCCUGACGCUCAGGCACGAAAGCGUGGGUAGCAAACGGGAUUAGAUACCCUUGUAGUC